rnacentral:lncRNA from 1 species
CUCUAAGAUAUAAAACUAGAGUCUAAUUCGAAAUAUUUGGACUAAUCCUAACACAUACAUUUAGGAUGAAAGCUUAAAUCAAUUUAAUCAAAUCAAACUCUAAUGCACCUAACUAGGGUUCAAUUUGAAUCAAAUCCGAUUAAGUCCCAAUGCAUAUACAUGGAAUUUAAUCAAUCCCUCACCUUUGGGUGAACAAUAUUGUUGAGCACUGAAACAUAUAGAGCCCAAUCAAAUCAAUUUGAUCAUACACUUUGAUUCAGAAUCAAGUUCAAUCAACCGUCAUAUUAUACUCAUGUACACUGGGGGUAUGCCCUUGGUUAAGCUAUGUAACUAUACAACGGAUUAUGUUAUAAAAUCCAUCUUUUAUUCAAUUUCAGUCUAUUUCAGCAUUACAGAGGUCUCUUAAUCGAAGGUGCCCUAACACUUUGUAGGGGUAAUUAACAAUAAACGCUUGCGUUUAUUGGAAGCCAUGAAUCCACAAUACCUGAUUCCCAUACAUAUUCAAAUAUUAAUCUGAAUCAUGAAUACUACCCCACGGGAAAAUCAAAAUAAGAUUAACCGUGCGAGGUGCAUCAUUCGUGGUCGCAGACACAUACGCUUAUUGGGAUUCUCUGUCAUAGCAUGUAUUUCAUACUACAUGUGCUGGGCGACCAAAAUAAAGAAGAUGAGUAAAUGGAUCCCUGCUUCCUCAUCGUACAAGUUCUUAU